rnacentral:rRNA from 1 species
GACGAACGCUGGCGGCGUGCCUAAUACAUGCAAGUCGAACGCUGAAGGAGGAGCUUGCUUCUCUGGAUGAGUUGCGAACGGGUGAGUAACGCGUAGGUAACCUGCCUGGUAGCGGGGGAUAACUAUUGGAAACGAUAGCUAAUACCGCAUAAUAGCAGUUGUUGCAUGACAACUGUUUGAAAGGUGCAAUUGCACCACUACCAGAUGGACCUGCGUUGUAUUAGCUAGUUGGUGGGGUAACGGCUCACCAAGGCGACGAUACAUAGCCGACCUGAGAGGGUGAUCGGCCACACUGGGACUGAGACACGGCCCAGACUCCUACGGGAGGCAGCAGUAGGGAAUCUUCGGCAAUGGACGGAAGUCUGACCGAGCAACGCCGCGUGAGUGAAGAAGGUUUUCGGAUCGUAAAGCUCUGUUGUAAGAGAAGAACGAGUGUGAGAGUGGAAAGUUCACACUGUGACGGUAGCUUACCAGAAAGGGACGGCUAACUACGUG